GACGAACGCUGGCGGCGUGCUUAACACAUGCAAGUCGAGCGGUAAGGCCCUUUCGGGGGUACACGAGCGGCGAACGGGUGAGUAACACGUGGGUGACCUGCCCUCAGCUCUGGGAUAAGCCUGGGAAACUGGGUCUAGUACUGGAUAUGACUCCACGGUGCAUGUCGUGGGGUGGAAAGCCUUGUGCGGCUGAGGAUGGGCCCGCGGCCUAUCAGCUUGUUGGUGGGGNGAUGGCCUACCAAGGCGACGACGGGUAGCCGGCCUGAGAGGGCGACCGGCCACACUGGGGCUGAGACACGGCCCAGACUCCUACGGGAGGCAGCAGUGGGGAAUCUUGCGCAAUGGGCGAAAGCCUGACGCAGCGACGCCGCGUGAGGGAUGACGGCCUGGUGUAACU
rnacentral:rRNA from 1 species